CGAGGAGUGUCUAAGACACAAAGAACUGCUAAUUCCGAGCCCUGAGGUUAAAAUCCACAGACUCCUCACUUUUAAAGGAUACUAGCCUAAUCCAUUGGCC
rnacentral:tRNA from 1 species